CUCUCGCCCGACAAACCUUCUCCCUCACGGCCGUCUCUCCUCUCUCAUCUCUCCCUUAGGUCGGCGACUCUCCUCUCUCGUCUCUUCCUCAGGCCGGCGACUCUCCUCUCUCGUCUCUCCCUCACGCCGGCGACUUUGGGCCGUCAACCCCCUCGCCCGUGCUGGCGGCGGCGGCGCCACACCACAGAUCUGGCCGAGGGUUGGUGCGUCAAAGCGGCGGUCGCGUCGGAGCAGCAGGCAAGCAGAGGAUUGGCGCCGUAUUCAUCUCUGCAUGCCUCGUCGUCGUUUCCUACAGCAGGCACGUCCUUCCUUGCUGGAGGGUUGCCACGGGCAAGUGCAGCGACGAUGCGGUCUCCCUGUUGAAAUUGGCAGGAGCCACUCCCAAUUCUUCCUCUAAUCUGAUGCGGUCUUCCUCUAAAAUUCUGAAUUUAGUGAUUAGAGUCAGCUAGUUAUUCUUUUGACUGUAGGUAUGCUCAGAUGCAAAAGAGAUAAUUGUAUAUUUACCAGACUAAGCAGUGUAUGUUUCAUCUGCAAAUCACUGUAAAUGCUCAAGAAAAUUUGGAUUGCAAUGAACUUUUCAGAUAUGGG
rnacentral:rRNA from 1 species